CUCAGACUUCAGGAUGGUUGCUGUAGUUACACCCACCAUCAUGUUCUCCUCGUCUCACUUCUACAAUGGGCUGGAUGGUGGCCUGGACAGUGGCAUGGGAGAGCAUAUCGUAUUCUGAAGAGAAGCUGGGCUGCAGGGAUCUGAGAACCCCUACCAUGAACGUUGGUAUCAACCUAGUCCACACAUAGCCUGGCAGAAGAGCUUCUAACCCAAGGUGAUGACCACACUGAAGCUGGGGAAAGGAUGCAAAGACAGAGAUGGAGGACAAGCUGGCAUCUAAUGAGUCUGAGAAGAGCGAUUUCUAUUUCUAACAAAAAAAUCUUGCAUUAGUGAAUGGAAAACUUUUUUAAGGAUAAAUGUUCUGCAGAAGCACAGAUAAAUUUAAUUAAAGCUGCAAGACAACUUAUGGUGAAGAUGAAGCUCCACAAAUGUAUCUAAAAACCAAUGGCGAUACUGAACUCUUAAUAAAAACGUAGUGUUAAGUUUUAA